AUUGAACGCUGGCGGCAGGCCUAACACAUGCAAGUCGAACGAGUGGCGGACGUGUGAGCAAUGGAUGGGAAACUGACUGGGGGAGGGGGACAGGUACUGGAAACGGUAGCUAAUUCCGUAUACCAGAGGAUGGGUCCAGAGGGGAUUAGCGAGUAGGUGGGGUAACGGCGCACCAAGGCGACGAACUCUAGCUGGUCUGAGAGGAUGAGCAGCCACACUGGAACUGAGACACGGUCCAGACUCCUACGGGAGGCAGCAGUGGGGAAUAUUGCACAAUGGGCGCAAGCCUGAUGCAGCCAUGCCGCGUGUGUGAAGAAGGCCUUCGGGUUGUAAAGUACUUUCAGCGGGGAGGCGUUACCCGCAGAAGAAGCACCGGCUAACUCCGUGCCAGCAGCCGCGGUAAUUC
rnacentral:rRNA from 1 species